GAGUGUGAAUAGAAUGGUCUGGAAAGGCCAACCAUAGUGGGUGACAGUCCCGUAUGCGAAAAUGAUCAAUCAGGACUCGAGUAGGGCGGAACACGUGAAAUUCUGUCUGAACAUGGGGGGACCACCCUCCAAGCCUAAAUACUCGUAUGUGACCGAUAGUGAACAAGUACCGUGAGGGAAAGGUGAAAAGCACCCCGAUUAGGGGAGUGAAAUAGUACCUGAAACCGAAUGCUUACAAGCAGUGGGAGCCCCCUUGUGGGGUGACCGCGUACCUCUUGCAUAAUGGGUCAGUGACUUAAUCUAUCUAGCAAGCUUAAGCCGUUAGGUGUAGGCG
rnacentral:rRNA from 1 species